AAAUUGAAGAGUUUGAUCAUGGCUCAGAUUGAACGCUGGCGGCAGGCCUAACACAUGCAAGUCGAACGGUAACAGGAAGCAGCUUGCUGCUUUGCUGACGAGUGGCGGACGGGUGAGUAAUGUCUGGGAAACUGCCUGAUGGAGGGGGAUAACUACUGGAAACGGUAGCUAAUACCGCAUAACGUCGCAAGACCAAAGAGGGGGACCUUCGGGCCUCUUGCCAUCGGAUGUGCCCAGAUGGGAUUAGCUAGUAGGUGGGGUAACGGCUCACCUAGGCGACGCUCCCUAGCUCGUCUGAGAGGAUGACCAGCCACACUGGAACUGAGACACGGUCCAGACUCCUACGGCCGGCAGCAGUGGGGAAUAUUGCACAAUGGUCGCAAGCCUGAUGCAGCCAUGCCGCGUGUAUGAAGAAGGCCUUCGGGUUGUAAAGUACUUUCAGCG
rnacentral:rRNA from 1 species